UACAGUCAUAUCACGCUGAAAAACUAGUUCUCGUACGAUCACCGAAGUUAAGCAACGUCGAAUCUCGCCCGUAGCUAGAUGGGUGACGGCUUGGGAAUACUAGGUACUGAAA